AAGAAAACCCUACGCUCCUCCGGUUGAGUUCGAAAACUAGAGAAAGAGAGGGAGUUGGGAAAUCGAGCUCAGAAGCUUGAAUCAAGGCGUUGAAAAGGUGAAUUUGGGUCAAGCGGAAUUUGGAACGGCGUACGAUCCGAUUUAAAGGAUUUCAGGUUGAGAAGUUGACGUAACUAGGUUGCAGGGGACGUAGGGGAAUGCCGGGGCAAUUAGGGCCAAAUCUGGAUUCCGAAUCCUGGACUUGGGAGCAGUUGCCUUUUCAAUUUGACUAGAGAGAAAUUGUUGUUACAAGUUUUAUCUUGAGAAAGUUUACCGAGUUUUUAGUUGUUCAAGUUUUAAAACAUCUAAAUGAGAAAGUUUGUUACUUUAGUUUUAUGAAG